AGGAAGUUAUUGUCCCAAAGUUGUGUGUCAUGCCCGAAGUGUCUGGGAUCCCCGAGUGCCUGUGGUGCCCAAGAGCUAUGAAUCUGCUAUCAUCAACACAGAGGGUACCUUCUGAAUGGGCUAUGUCUACAGUGAUGCUGCAAAUGGAAGCUAACCCUAGGAUGACUGGCCUCUGACACUUGAGCCAUCCCAUCAUCUGUCAUGGGUUGACCCAUCCAUCCCCUCAAUGAGCCUGACCUUCAGGACCACUGACAGAGGAGCAGUCAAUAGAAAUUAAUUGUUAAAUACCCAGAAAAUCUGAAAUGGUAUUUAAUAUGCAGUUCAUCAAGAGCAAAAGUUCCUUAAAUCUUCAUCUAGAAAAGUUAUUUAUAAGGGAUGAAUAUGUUGUAUGAAUAUGUUGUAUGCAAAUAUUAUAUUCAAGGGCAAGACCAUGAAAACAGUUUAAGAAUCCGACAGGGAAUUAGAUAAAGACAUCGGAGUGCACUUGUCAAAAUACAGCUAUCAAGAAUGAUGAUGUUGAAAAAUAGUUUAGCAAUAUAAUUGUCUAGAACCACAGGGAGUCUGAGAUUUUACCCAACUUGUGAGUUAACAACUCUGCUAUAGCUUCAUGAAAGAAGACACAAGACUCCUGGGUCAGGAACAAAGGUCUCUAAUACUCACAGCAAUAUCAGGAGCCAGAAUUUCAGGAUCCUUUUUCCUGCCAGUUUCUCAAGUCCUAAUUACCACCGAGUUACAGGAAAGGGCCAGGUAACACUAGCACUGCCAUCAGUGGCUGUAUUACAGAACAGGAACUCCAAGCUUAGGAAACCCAAAUCUUUUAUAGUUAACAAUGAACACAUCUGCCAUUGUUCUGAAGGGAGACGCUACCCCAAUCUUCCACACCUGUUCACUAUAUAAAUAUCUGUGAAAAGAUAGACAGAAAAAUAGGUGGAGAAUGCCUCUGCUCACAAGAUGUGCAGAAACGUGAGAGGCUCAUGGAGAACUGUUUCCCUACAAUGACAAAAUGCUGACGAUAUAUUGUUAUGUAAAAUAAAGCAGGCAUUUUUCACCUCAUUUUCAUGAAAUAUAGUGUGUUUAUAUAGAUAUUUAGAAAAGUAUGAAAGGACAUUCAUCCAGAUAUCAAUAGAAGAGUUUAUUAUUUUUGCUAGUUGUAAGUUCAAACUUUUCUAGUAAAAAUAGAUUACUUGUGAAAUUAUUUUUAAUCUUUUUUUUUUUUUGAGAUGGAGUCUUGCUCUGUCGCCCAGGCUCGAGUGCAGUGGCAUGAUCUCAGCUCACUGCAACAUCCACCUCCUGGGUUCAAGCAAUUCUCCUGCCUCAGCCUCCUGAGUAGCUGGGAUUAUAGGUGCAUGCCACCAUGCCCAGCUAAUUUUUGUAUUUUUAGUAGAGACGGGAUUUCACCAUGUUGGUCAGGCUGGUCUCGAACUCCUGACCUCGUGAUCUGCCCACCUCGGCCUCCCAAAGUGCUAGAAUUACAGGUGUGAGCCACUGCACCCCUCCUAAAUGUCAAUUUAAUAACUGAGGGAGCCCUUAAAAUACCCCGCUGACUUCCACACGGGUGUGUAAAAUAGAAUCUGCUCACGUCUUAGAGGAGAUAAGUACAUGCUUAAUGUUCUUAGGAGAGACCUGCCUUUUGACAUGGAAGCUGUGGUAUUGUUGACAAGAGCAUACCUCCUUAAACCAUGCAAACCACGUUCACAUCAAAGCUGCCUACGAAUGAUUAUUUUCCAUGAUGCUAUGCUCCCUCCUGCCUGCCUCAGUGGCAAGUGUGACUCAGCAAGUGUAUCCAGGGCAUCCCUCACUCUUACUUAUUUUUGCCAAAUGCAGUGGAAAUGUAUAGACUUUUUUUCAUAUUUAUGUUGGCUGCAGAGCAUAAAUCUGAAUAGGUUCUCCAAAGUAAGCUUUUUCUGCAUGCAUUUGCUCCCAAUGAUGAUAGGUAUUAUGAAUUGCUUUAUAGUAAUCAUUAUCCUUUUCCAUAUGUUUUACGGUUAGUCUGUGCUAUAAACUUGUUUGAUUU
rnacentral:lncRNA from 1 species